rnacentral:rRNA from 1 species
UACGGGAGGCAGCAGUGGGGAAUCCUACGGGAAUGAGCAGUGGGGAAUCUUAGACAAUGGGCGCAAGCCUGAUCUAGCCAUGCCGCGUGUGUGAUGAAGGUCUUAGGAUCGUAAAGCACUUUCGCCAGGGAUGAUAAUGACAGUACCUGGUAAAGAAACCCCGGCUAACUCCGUGCCAGCAGCCGCGGUAAUACGGAGGGGGUUAGCGUUGUUCGGAAUUACUGGGCGUAAAGCGUACGUAGGCGGAUUGGAAAGUUGGGGGUGAAAUCCCAGGGCUCAACCCUGGAACUGCCUCCAAAACUAUCAGUCUAGAGUUCGAGAGAGGUGAGUGGAAUUCCAAGUGUAGAGGUGAAAUUCGUAGAUAUUUGGAGGAACACCAGUGGCGAAGGCGGCUCACUGGCUCGAUACUGACGCUGAGGUACGAAAGUGUGGGGAGCAAACAGGAUUAGAUACCCUGGUAGUCCACACCGUAAACGAUGAAUGCCAGUCGUCGGGCAGUAUACUGUUCGGUGACACACCUAACGGAUUAAGCAUUCCGCCUGGGGAGUACGGUCGCAAGAUUAAAACUCAAAGAAAUUGACGG